GAAAUGCGAUAAGUAAUGUGAAUUGCAGAAUUCAGUGAAUCAUCGAAUCUUUGAACGCACAUUGCGCCCGCCAGCACUCUGGCGGGCAUGCCUGUUCGAGCGUCAUUUCAACCCUCAGAACCCCUUGCGGGAUCUGGCGUUGGGGAUUGGCAUCCAGCCAGCCCCGAAAUCUAGUGGCGGUCCCUCCGCGACCUCCCCUGUGCAGUAGCGAUACCUCGCAGCGGGACAGCGGUCUGACCACGCCGUAAAACCCCCAACUUCUCAAGGUUACCUCGAAUCAGGUAGGAAUACCCGCUGAACUUAAGC
rnacentral:misc_RNA from 1 species